CAGGGCUGGAAGGCAGCAGCGCCCCACUGUG
rnacentral:SRP_RNA from 12 species